rnacentral:rRNA from 1 species
GACGAACGCUGGCGGCGUGCCUAACACAUGCAAGUCGAACGGAGUGAUGAUUUCGGUUAUCACUUAGUGGCGAACGGGUGAGUAACGCGUGAGAAACCUGCCUUUCAGUGGGGGACAACAGUUGGAAACGACUGCUAAUACCGCAUGACGCUUCUUGGGGGCAUCCCCGAGAAGUCAAAGCUUUAUGUGCUGAAAGAUGGCCUCGCGUCUGAUUAGCUAGUUGGUGGGGUAACGGCCCACCAAGGCGACGAUCGGUAGCCGACCUGAGAGGGUGAUCGGCCACAUUGGAACUGAGAAACGGUCCAG